rnacentral:lncRNA from 1 species
AAAGUACCAGCACUGUUUGCGGGGCAAGCAACUUCACCUAAUGUACCUGAAAGCCCAGUUUCAACAUGCCCUAUGGCAUAAACAUGCCGGUUACCGACCGUUUGGGGCCCAUUAACCCAACCGGCCAGUUGAAUGGCGUUAACGGCCCGGUUGGGUUAACGGUCGGUUGGGUUAAUGGCCAGUUGGGUUAACGGUCGGUUGGGUUAAUGGUCAGUUGGGUUAAUGGUCGGUCUGGACUGUGUGUAAGAACUUGCUUGAAUUGUUACAGCUACCCAGUCCAGGUAUUCAUCCUACCUAGCACCCUGCCUGCAUGCCUACACACCUGGGACAGUACUGUUAUCACUGCCUCCCACAUCAUCUUGGCACCAUGCCCUUAAGCAUAUUCAUACCUAAAUUUAUCCUUGUCAUACUUAAUGUGUGCACAGCACUGUCACCCGUGUCACCUGGCAUUCACCUUGACUGCACAAGGCCAUGUGUGCACACACCUGUCACCUGGAAUCUGCAUAAACCUGCCUGUGCAAGGCUGUCACCUCUGUCACAAGCCUGCACGCAUUGUUGUCACCCCUGUCACCCACCAUCCACAACAGCCAUCACGCAAUGUUGUCACCCCUCUCACCCGGCCUUUCAAUGUAUUCUGGGCCCAGAAGCCCCACUCUCAAGCCUGCACGCAUUAUUGUCACCCCUGUCACCCGGCAUUUCAAUUGUUGCCCAUAAGCAUGAACCAGGCCACCAACUCACAAGCUUACAUGCAACAACUAAAACCAGGCAAUACUAGCUACGCAAGCUAUGCUAGGACAAACUUUCAAGACGACCAGAGCAGCAUGAGAGCGGACGAGCUUUUGUGCUAGCAGGGUCAGCCAUGAGACAUGCCAUAGGAUCCGAUGUGGUGUAGCCUCGCAGAACUUCUGCUCCAAUGCCGACUGUGCAUGAAGCGAUCGCUGCAGUCAACGGAGAGACUGAGGCCUCGAUAGCUCCCAUACUCCAAGUUCUUGAAAGGGAGGGUUAUGAUGUGAACACUGAGGCAGGAGGCGCAUUUCGUCGUCUCAACGUAAAUGACCUGCAAUCACAACUUAACCUCCGGCAACACAACACCCUGAAAGAGGCAAUCGAAACAGGCAUGCAUCGACAAACUUAGCUGCUUGUGGAAGCUCAGCGCAUUCCUAGACUGGGUUGGGAGUUUCUCAGGUUUGUCAUUUUGCUGCGGCUGGGCCUGUGACUGGGCUCGCGAUGAGCACUUGUAACGACGCAAAUGCCAAUCUGAGCAUCCCGGGUUA